rnacentral:rRNA from 1 species
AUAUUGUUCAAUGGGGGCAACCCUGCUCCAGCCAUGCCGCGUGUGUGGAGAAGGUCUUCGUAGGGUUAAGCACUUUAAGUUGUGAGGAAGGACUUUAGGUUAAUACCCUGAAGUUGUGACGUUACCAACAGAAUAAGCACCGGCUAACUUCGUGCCAUCAGCCGCGGUAAUACAGAGGGUGCAAGCGUUAAUCGGAAUUACUGGGCGUAAAGCGAGCGUAGGUGGUUCAGUAAGAUGGGUGUGAAAUCCCCGGGCUUAACCUGGGAACUGCUUUCAUAACUGCUGAGCUAGAGUGCGGUAGAGGGUAGUGGAAUUUCCUGUGUAGCGGUGAAAUGCGUAGAUAUAGGAAAGAACACCAGUGGCGAAGGCGACUACCUGGACUGAUACUGACACUGAGGUGCGAAAGCGUGGGGAGCAAAC